ACAUCGGUAGUGCAGUGGUUAGCACGCCACUCGCGGAAAGAUUAAUAUGCGCAGGUUCAACUCUCGCCCGAUGUU